AGUCGAACGCUCUGUUUACAGAGAGUGGCGGACGGCUGAGUAACACGUUGGAACCUGCCCCGAACUCAGGGAUAACAUCUAGAAAUAGGUGCUAAUACCGGAUAGUCCCGCAAGGGUAAAGAUUUUUCGGUUCGGGAGGGGCCUGCGGCGUAUCAGUUUGUUGGUGAGGUAACGGCUCACCAAGACUAUGACGCGUAACUGGUCUGAGAGGAUGACCAGUCAGAAUGGGACUGAGACACGGCCCAUACUCC
rnacentral:rRNA from 1 species